UGAUAGCUGUGAAACCGGAGAUUGCUGCUGCGGCAGGUAACUCGGUGGAGCGAAUGUCAAGUUAUAAAACUGGCGACAA
rnacentral:ncRNA from 1 species